UACGUAGGGGGCAAGCGUUGUCCGGAUUUAUUGGGCGUAAAGAGCGUGUAGGCGGCCUGGUAGGUCAGUUGUGAAAACUCGAGGCUCAACCUCGAGACGCCGAUGGAAACCAUCAGACUAGAGUCCGGAAGAGGAGAGUGGAAUUCCUGGUGUAGCGGUGAAAUGCGCAGAUAUCAGGAAGAACACCCGUGGCUAAGGCGGCUCUCUAGUACGGUACUGACGCUGAGACGCGAAAGCGUGGGGAGCGAACAGG
rnacentral:rRNA from 1 species